rnacentral:rRNA from 1 species
AAAGUGGAGAGUUUGAUUCUGGCUCAGGACAAACGCUGGUGGCGCGCCUAAUACAUGCAAGUCGAACGAGAAAGUUCCUUCGGGGGCGAGUAAAGUGGCGAACGGGUGAGUAACGCGUGGAUAACGUGCCCUCAGAUGGGGGAUAACCAACCGAAAGGUUGGCUAAUACCGCAUAAGACCACAAUAUCAUAAGAUAUAGGGGUCAAAGAUUUAUCGUCUGAGGAUCGGUCCGCGUCCGAUUAGCUUGUUGGUGGGGUAAAAGCCUACCAAGGCUCUGAUCGGUAGCUGGUCUGAGAGGAUGAUCAGCCACAUUGGGACUGAGACACGGCCCAAACUCCUACGGGAGGCAGCAGUAGGGAAUCUUGCGCAAUGGGGGAAACCCUGACGCAGCGACGCCACGUGAGUGAUGAAGGCCUUAGGGUUGUAAAGCUCUGU